AUACAGAGGGUGCGAGCGUUAAUCGGAAUUACUGGGCGUAAAGCGCGCGUAGGCGGCUUAUUAAGUCAGAUGUGAAAUCCCCGGGCUCAACCUGGGAACUGCAUCUGAUACUGGUAAGCUAGAGUUUGGGAGAGGGAAGUAGAAUUUCAGGUGUAGCGGUGAAAUGCAUAGAGAUCCGAAGGAAUACCAGUGGCGAAGGCGACUUCCUGGCCUAAAACUGACGCUGAGGUGCGAAAGCGUGGGUAGCAAACGGAAUUAGAAACCCCGGUAGUCC
rnacentral:rRNA from 1 species